rnacentral:rRNA from 1 species
AUUGAACGCUGGCGGCAAGCCUAACACAUGCAAGUCGAACGAGUGGCGGACGGGUGAGUAAUGUCUGGGAAACUGCCUGAUGGAGGGGGAUAACUACUGGAAACGGUAGCUAAUACCGCAUACCAUCGGAUGUGCCCAGAUGGGAUUAGCUAGUAGGUGGGGUAAAGGCCUACCUAGGCGACGAUACAUAGCCGACCUGAGAGGGUGAUCGGCCACGCUGGGACUGAGACACGGCCCAGACUCCUACGUGAGGCAGCAGUAGGGAAUCUUCGGCAAUGGGGGGAACCCUGACCGAGCAACGCCGCGUGUAUGAAGAAGGCCUUCGUGUUGUAAAGUACUUUCAGCGGGGAGGCGUUACCCGCAGAAGAAGCACCGGCUAACUCCGUGCCAGCAGCCGCGGUAAUUC